AACGAACGCUGGCGGCACGUUUUAAGCAUGCAAGUCGAAUGGCAGUGGGGGCAACCCCAUGAGAAUGGCGAACGGGUGAGUAACACGUAGGUGAUCUGCCUGACGGAUGGGGAUAGCUUGUGGAAACACAGGGUAGUACCGAAUGAGCUGACGAGACUUUGGUUUUGUUAGUAAAGGUGCUACGGCACCGCCGACAGAGGAGCCUGCGGCUGAUUAGCUAGUUGGUGGGGUAAAGGCCUACCAAGGCGACGAUCAGUAGCCGGCCUGAGAGGGAGUACGGCCACACUGGAGCUGAGACACGGUCCAGACUCCUACGGGAAGCAGCAGCUAAGAAUCUUGCGCAAUGGGCGAAAGCCUGACGGAGCGAUGCCGCGUGAUGGAUGGAGGUCGAGAGAUUGUAAAGAUCUUUUCUACAUGAGGAAUAAGUCUGGGAGGAAAUGCCUGGAUGAUGACGUUAGUGUAGGAAUAAGCCCCGGCUAAGUACGUGCCAGCCGCCGCCGUAA
rnacentral:rRNA from 1 species